UAGUUCCAUGGGGUAGCGGCCAAUCCUGAAGCCUUCUGGGGGCUUCGACCCAGGUUCGAAUCCUGGUGGAACUAUC
rnacentral:tRNA from 1 species